AUUGAACGCUGGCGGCAGGCCUAACACAUGCAAGUCGAGCGGCAGCGGGAAGUAGCUUGCUACUUUGCCGGCGAGCGGCGGACGGGUGAGUAAUGCCUGGGGAUCUGCCCAAUCGAGGGGGAUAACUACUGGAAACGGUAGCUAAUACCGCAUACGCCCUACGGGGGAAAGCAGGGGACCUUUUGGCCUUGCGCGAUUGGAUGAACCCAGGUGGGAUUAGCUUGUUGGUGAGGUAACGGCUCACCAAGGCGACGAUCCCUAGCUGGCCUGAGAGGAUGAUCAGCCACACUGGAACUGAGACACGGUCCAGACUCCUACGGGAGGCAGCAGUGGGGAAUAUUGCACAAUGGGGGAAACCCUGAUGCAGCCAUGCCGCGUGUGUGAAGAAGGCCUUCGGGUUGUAAAGCACUUUCAGCGAGGAGGAAGGGGAGUGAGCUAAUACCUCGCUUCAUUGACGUUACUCGCAGAAGAAGCACCGGCUAACUCCGUGCCAGCAGCCGCCGUAAAAC
rnacentral:rRNA from 1 species